rnacentral:rRNA from 1 species
CCUACGGGUGGCUGCAGUAAGGAAUAUUGCGCAAUGGGCGACAGCCUGACGCAGCGACGCCGCGUGGGGGAUGAAGGUCUUCGGAUUGUAAACCCCUUUCGGCAGGGAAGAUGGAACGGGAAACCGUUCGGACGGUACCUGCAGAAGCAGCCACGGCUAACUUCGUGCCAGCAGCCGCGGUAAUACGAAGGUGGCAAGCGUUGUUCGGAUUUACUGGGCGUACAGGGAGCGUAGGCGGUUGGGUAAGCCCUUCGUGAAAUCUCCGGGCCUAACCC